GACGAACGCUGGCGGCGUGCUUAACACAUGCAAGUCGAACGGAAAGGCCCCUUUGGGGGUACUCGAGUGGCGAACGGGUGAGUAACACGUGAGUAACCUGCCCUUGACUUCGGGAUAACUUCAGGUAACUGGGGCUAAUACCGGAUAGGAAUCCUUGCUGCAUGGGGGGGGUUGGAAAGCUUCGGCGGGUUUGGCUGGACUCGCGGCUUAUCAGCUUGUUGGAGGGGCAGUGGCUUACCAAGGCUUCGACGGGUAGCCGGCCUGAGAGGGCGACCGGCCGCAUUGAGACUGACGGGCGGCCGAGGCUCCUAAGCGAGGCAGAAGGGGGGAAUCUUGCACGAGGAGCGGAAGCCUGGUGAAGAAGCGCCGCGUGCCGGAUGACGGCCUUAGGGUUGAAAACCGCUUUCGGCAGGAGCUAAGCUUGUGGUGACGGUACCUGCAGAAGAAGCACCGGCUAACUACGUG
rnacentral:rRNA from 1 species